rnacentral:tRNA from 1 species
GGGUAUAGCUCAGUGGUAGAGUACCUGCCUAGCAUGACUGAGGUCCUGGGUUCAAUCCCUAGUACUUCCA